rnacentral:rRNA from 1 species
AAACUCGGAUUAAUACCGUAUACCUCCUUAGGGAGAAAGAGGGCCUCUCUUGAAGCUCUCGCUAUUAGAUGAGCCUGCGUAAGAUUAGCUUGUUGGUAAGGUAAUGGCUUACCAAGGCUACGAUCUUUAGCUGGUCUGAGAGGACGAUCAGCCACAUUGGGACUGAGACACGGCCCAGACUCCUACGGGAGGCAGCAGUGGGGAAUAUUGGACAAUGGGCGCAAGCCUGAUCCAGCCAUACCGCGUGUGUGAAGAAGGCCUUCGGGUUGUAAAGCACUUUAAGCAGGGAGAAAAAGCUAUAGGUUAAUACCCUACAGCCUUGAUGUUACCUGCAGAAUAAGCACCGGCUAAUUCCGUGCCAGCAGCCGCGGUAAUACGGAAGGUGCAAGCGUUAAUCGGAAUUACUGGGCGUAAAGCGCGCGUAGGUGGUUUGUUAAGUUGGAUGUGAAAGC